CAGACCCUGGCCUAGUUUAAAGAAGUUCUGUCAUGCAGCAGAAUGGCUCACUGGUUUCUUAUGGCAGUGGAUGUGGGUGCUGAAAGAACACUUACUGAAGCUUUUGGGAGCCUGUCUUAUCUGAUCAUGGGCAGAAGACUAUGAACACAGACCUCUCUGACCAAAGAACAGAAAACUGCUGGAGCAUCGUGACCUUACCUGACACAAGGUUUUCCUUCCAGGAUCUGCCACACUCCCCAUGACAUUGGAACAGCUCAAGUGUCCCGAAGACAAGGCUUUGUCAUCAACUUUUUGCUAUAUUUCCUUCACCAGACAACCUAAAUGCAAUUUUUGAACAUCAGUUUGCUCAGUAUCAUACAGUGCCAAGACUAUUAUCCUCAGGGAACAGAUGGAAAAAACGGAGAGAAAGGAGAUGAGGUGGGUUGCUUCUGGUCAUAUAGACAUAAAUUAAAUAGUAGCACAGUUGGGAAAGGACGCGGUUUCCUCCCAAGCAGUGUUUAUAGGAAAAAGUAUAUACCAGUGAUCUGAAUUCAGCUCUCAGUUAUUUCUUAUUAUGCCAGUACAGUGAAUGUUUUGUCCCCAAGUCCCUAGAGAAUAAGAAAAUGCACAUUUUUAGGUCACAGAACACAUGACUAAAAUUUACCCAAACUUUCUGACAACUCCAAGGUUGGUGUGAAUGAAAAUACUUGCUAUGAUCACAUCUGUAUUUUGGUGAAUUAUAAUCCAGGUUUGAAUCAGUGUUUUCUUCAUUGCUUACAUUCCUAGUAAGGAUUCAUUAGAUGAGGAAAUAGACCAUUACAUCACAAUGGAUCAUUUUUAAACACGCCUUCCCUCUGUUCUGUUUUUUGUUUGUUUGUAAUUGUUCUGUUGAGAAUAUCUGCCUUGUGACAAGCAAAGCGGUCAGCUCUCAACAAGCAGUGAAAUGAAUAUCAAUCCAAGGCAAAGCAAAUUGGGAAGAAGUUCCAGAGAGUGGUGCUAUUUGAAAUAAGCUAAAGUAUUAUUUUGAAAGCUUGCAUGAAAGGAUGGAGGUUUGCCAACUAUUACAAUUGGACUUCAGAGUAACUGCUGAGUGGGUAAUUAUUCCCCCAGGAACACAGGAGUCUGGACAAAUGUAAGAGGGAAAAAAAAGUAUAUGAAGAAUUAAUGUUAGAAAACAAGCUAGAACAUUAGUCACAAGAGGGAUAUAACUCAACAUUCAUUUAAUGUUUAUUUCUGUGAUGAACAGAAACGUUGUUCUUAACCCCUGUGCUGAAGCAGGAAAUAGGAGAUGUCUCUCAAGG